rnacentral:rRNA from 1 species
UGAGGAAUAUUGGUCAAUGGACGCAAGUCUGAACCAGCCAUGUCGCGUGCAGGAAGAGGGCCCUAUGGGUUGUAAACUGCUUUUAUACGGGAAGAAAACCAGCUACUAGUAGCUAUUUGCCGGUACCGUAUGAAUAAGGAUCGGCUAACUCCGUGCCAGCAGCCGCGGUAAUACGGAGGAUCCGAGCGUUAUCCGGAUUUAUUGGGUUUAAAGGGUGCGUAGGCGGAUAUAUCAGUCAGCGGUGAAAUCCUGCAGCUCAACUGUAGUGUGUGCCGUUGAUACUGUAUAUCUUGAGAUUAUUUGAGGUAGGCGGAAUGUGUUGUGUAGCGGUGAAAUGCAUAGAUAUAACACGGAACACCAAUUGCGAAGGCAGCUUACUAAACUAUAUCUGACGCUGAGGCACGAAAGCGUGGGUAUCAAACAGG